rnacentral:lncRNA from 1 species
AUGAAUUGCGAAUUAAUGCAAUUUACAAACAUUUUAAUGAAUAAUUCUAAGCAGUAUUUUUUUGACUGUAUUGUGGAAGGAGUAGGUGAUGGUAUAAAUUACAACACGAGUAAUAACAAUACAAAUAUGCGUUAUACAUACUUAACCGAUAUAGACACUUUAGGAAACAUCUUGUUUAUAUUUGAUCAAAUUGAUCUUAAUAAAAAAGAGUUUAUAUUAAAUAUUAUUAAUUUGUUGUCUAUUCACAAUUAUUUAUUAUUAAAAUAUAAAAAAAUAAAAUUUAAUUCAUUUGUUUAUAUACUUCAUUAUAUAUGUUCUAGUUAUAUAGAUACUCAAGAAUAUGUUAAAUUGGUAGGUUAUAUUAUGAGUAAUAUACGUGUGUAUAUAGAUUUAUGUUAUAGACAGUAUAUGCAGACUGUUGGCAAAAAAAUGGACGUACGUGUUGUAAAUCGUGAAAAGGAUAGUUGUACUGUUAGUCAUGGUAAUAAUACUAGUACUAACAACAGUAGUAUAAGCAAUAACAGUGACGGUAAUAGUGAAGAAGUAUGUACUGCGGAAGAGUAUGCAUUUGAUCAAGUGAAUCAUGACAUUAUAAAAGAUAAAAUAUAUAUAAAAGAUAUAAUCAUAUUUUUGGAUUUUAUGCGCAUUAGCAAGUUAUAUAUUAACGAUAUGGUUUUAGGCACUUUGAUAGAAAUGAUGAAAACUAACAAAAUAAAGUCCCUAUCGAAUGAAGACAUCGAGUUGUUAAAUUACAUUUUUAUAGACAUGGGUAUGUUCAACAAAAACGUAAUGGAUGAAGCAAAGUAUAGAGGAUUAAGCAUAGGAUUGAAUUCUUAAUUCGAAAUAAAAUUGUCAUAUAUUAACGUAUGUUCUAUCA